rnacentral:rRNA from 1 species
GACGAAGGGGGCUAGCGUUGUUCGGAAUUACUGGGCGUAAAGCGCGUGUAGGCGGUUGCCAAAGUCGGGUGUGAAAGCCUUGAGCUUAACUCAAGAAAUGCACUCGGAUACUUGGUGACUAGAGGACCGGAGAGGGAUAGUGGAAUUCCCAGUGUAGUGGUGAAAUACGUAGAGAGUUGGGAAGAACACCAGUGGCGAAGGCGGGUCUCUGGACAGUUCCUGGACGCUGAGGCACGAAGGCCAGGGGAGCAAACGGGACU